UCCGGUUGAUCCUGCCGGACCCGACUGCUAUUUGGGUGAGAAUAAGCCAUGCGAGUCGAAUGGGAUACCUAAAUUUCCCAUGGCAAACUGCUCAUUAACACAUGAUCAACUUACCCUAUAGAGAAAAAUAACCUCGGGAAACUGAGGAUAAUAUUUCGUAGUUGAAUAGGCUUGGAAAAGUUUUUCAAUAAAAGGGAUAAAAAAAAUGGUUUUUAUCUGCUAUAGGAUAGGAUCGUGGACGAUUAUGGUUGUUGGUGAGGUAACGGCUCACCAAGCCGAUAAUCGAUAGGGGCCGUGAGAGCGGGAGCCCCGAGAUGGGUACUGAGACAACGACCCAGGCCUUACGAGGCGCAGCAGGCGCGGAACCUCCGCAAUACACGAAAGUGUGACGGGGUUACCCAAAGUGUUCAAUUCUGAACUGUGGUAGGUGAGUAAUGUUCCCUACUAGAAAGGAGAGGGCAAGGCUGGUGCCAGCUGCCGCGGUAAAACCAGCUCUUCAAGUGGUCGGGAUAAUUAUUGGGCUUAAAGUGUCCGUAGCCGGUUUAGUAAGUUCCUGGUAAAAUCGGGUAGCUUAACUAUCCGUAUGCUAGGAAUACUGCUAUACUAGAGGGCGGGAGAGGUCUGAGGUACUACAGGGGUAGGGGUGAAAUCUUAUAAUCCUUGUAGGACCACCAGUGGCGAAGGCGUCAGACUGGAACGCGCCUGACGGUGAGGGACGAAAGCCAGGGGAGCAAACCGGAUUAGAUACCCGGGUAGUCCUGGCCGUAAACGAUGCAUACUAGGUGAUGGUACGGUCAUGAGCCGUAUCAGUGCCGUAGGGAAACCGUUAAGUGUGCCGCCUGGGAAGUACGGUCGCAAGGCUAAAACUUAAAGGAAUUGGCGGGGGAGCAC
rnacentral:rRNA from 1 species